rnacentral:rRNA from 1 species
UCUUCGGAACUUAGCGGCGAAUGGGUGAGUAACACGUACUUAACGUACCUCUUAGAUUGGGAUAACGGUGAGAAAUCACCGCUAAUACCGGAUACUUAUAAGGAAGGCAUCUUCYUUAUAUAAAAGGAGCCUCAAAGCUCCACUAGGAGAUCGGGGUGCGGAACAUUAGUUAGUUGGUGAGGUAAUGGCUCACCAAGACUAUGAUGUUUAACGGGGUUGAGAGACUGAUCCGUCACACUGGGACUGAGAUACGGCCCAGACUCCUACGGGAGGCAGCAGUAGGGAAUUUUCCACAAUGGGCGAAAGCCUGAUGGAGCGACACAGCGUGCAGGAUGAAGGCCUUCGGGUUGUAAACUGCUGUUAUUUAGGAUGAAAAAAUAGUAGAGGAAAUGCUAUUAUCUUGACAGUACUAAAUCAGAAAGCAACGGCUAACUAUGUGCCAGCAGCCGCGGUAAUACAUAGGUUGCAAGCGUUAUCCGGAAUUAUUGGGCGUAAAGCGUCUGUAGGUUGUUUGUUAAGUCUGGCGUCAAAACUUGGGGCUCAACCCCAAAUCGCGUUGGAUACUGACAAACUAGAAUUGUGUAGAGGUUAACGGAAUUCCUUGUGAAGCGGUGAAAUGCGUAGAUAUAAGGAAGAACAUCAACUUGGCGAAGGCAGUUAACUGGGCACAUAUUGACACUGAGAGACGAAAGCGUGGGGAGCAAACAGGAUUAGAUACCCUGGUAGUCCACGCCGUAAACGAUGAUGAUUAGCUGAUGGAAACCAUCGGCGCAGCUAACGCAUUAAAUCAUCCGCCUGAGUAGUAUGCUCGCAAGAGUGAAACUUAAAGGAAUUGACGGGGAUCCGCACAAGCGGUGGAGCAUGUGGUUUAAUUUGAAGAUACGCGUAGAACCUUACCCACUCUUGACAUCUUCUGCAAAGCUA